GCUGCGUCCCCACUAUGGCGGCGCCCAUGCAGCCCAGCGCGUUGUGGGCUCCCGCCGGGGUCCCCCGCGGCUGUCGCCGCCGCCUACGCCGCUGCCUCCGCCUUCCUGCCCCGCGUCGGGCCGGGCGCCACCUCCCCCCUGCCUCCCUCUCCGCUGUGGUCAUUUAGGAAAUCGUAAAUCAUGUGAAGAUGGGACUCUUGGUAUUUGUGCGCAAUCUGCUGCUAGCCCUCUGCCUCUUUCUGGUACUGGGAUUUUUGUAUUAUUCUGCGUGGAAGCUACACUUACUCCAGUGGGAGGAGGACUCCAGUAAGUAUAGUCACUCUAGCUCACCCCAGGAGAAGCCUGUUGCAGAUUCAGUGGUUCUUUCCUUUGACUCCGCUGGACAAACACUAGGCUCAGAGUAUGAUCGGUUGGGCUUCCUCCUGAAUCUGGACUCUAAACUCUCACCGAGGACUCUCUGCACGGUGGUUUUUGGCCUUGACUGCAUAUUGGAAUCACCUGGAGAGCCUAAAAAAUUACUGAUGCCUGCAUCCCACCCUCUAGAGAUUUUGAAGUCACUGAGCGAGGACACAGCCUUUGCAUUAGGAUUUUUAAAGCUGCCCAGGCCUGCUGAAUUAGCCACCAAGUACGCAAACUUUUCAGAGGGAGCUUGCAAGCCUGGCUAUGCUUCAGCCUUGAUGACGGCCAUCUUCCCCCGGUUCUCCAAGCCAGCACCCAUGUUCCUGGAUGACUCCUUUCGCAAGUGGGCUAGAAUCCGGGAGUUCGUGCCGCCUUUUGGGAUCAAAGGUCAAGACAAUCUGAUCAAAGCCAUCUUGUCAGUCACCAAAGAGUACCGCCUGACCCCUGCCUUGGACAGCCUCCGCUGCCGCCGCUGCAUCAUCGUGGGCAAUGGAGGCGUUCUUGCCAACAAGUCUCUGGGGUCACGAAUUGACGACUAUGACAUUGUGGUGAGACUGAAUUCAGCACCAGUGAAAGGCUUUGAGAAGGACGUGGGCAGCAAAACGACACUGCGCAUCACCUACCCCGAGGGCGCCAUGCAGCGGCCUGAGCAGUACGAGCGCGAUUCUCUCUUUGUCCUCGCCGGCUUCAAGUGGCAGGACUUUAAGUGGUUGAAAUACAUCGUCUACAAGGAGAGAGUGCUCUUUCCCAAGCAAGGCCAAGUACAGGCAGUGUCAAGUAGGUAGCAAGCAAGAGAGAAGACAGAAGUCAGGUCCAGAAAUUCAGGGAGUAAGGAAAGAAAGAAGAAAAGGAAGGAAGCCAGCUAGAGUCGGAGAACUCACUAUACUCAGGCUACUCAGGAAGCAGACAGCAGGGCCUUGCUUUUCCCAGGAAGCUGAGGAGCUCUCCGCCUGGCCUGGCCUUGGCAGCAGGCAGAUUCAAGGAUACAGAUGAACCUGCAUGUUUUGGGCAUAGAGAACAACAUUGGCAAAGAGCAUGGUGUAUUUAGUGAAUUAAAAAUAAUUCAGUAUAACCGGGGUGUGGCAUGGGCAUGGUACUGCCCUUUGACCUGAGAGAGGCAUCUGCCCUGGGCCCCACUGUGGUCCUCCUCUGGCCACAACCUUUGCCGUGGAGUGAAGAGGAAUAUGCAGAGCCAAGAGGGAUGUGCCCACCCCAGGUCCAUCUGCCUUGAGAGACCACUAUCAGGUAAUGGAGACCUCAGAAUUUCUUGCCCUAAAAGUGAGAAGUCCAAGUCCACUUCCAUCUUCUUGAGGGCAGAAUGUAACUCUCUGUGCGUACCCUAAGCCCAAGGAGGGUAUUUGCAGAGGCUGUGAGCAGAGCUUGGAUGUGUGGAGUGAGGAGGAGUCUACACACAUGCACAGACUUCUUUUUUUUUUUUUUGAGACAGGGUCUUACUCCGUUGCCCAGGCUGGAGUGUAGUGGCACGAUCUCAGCUCAUUGCAGCCUUGACCUCCCUGGGCUCUGGUAAUCCUCCCACCUCAGUCUCCCUAGUAACUGGGGCUAUAGGUGCACACCCACCACACCUGACUAAUAUUUCUUUUUCUUUUUUUUUUUUUUUUGUAGAGAUGGGGUUUUGCACAAGGCUUCUUAUGGUAUGGGAUGGGACCGGGGUGGGAGGUGGGCCAGACCACCAUGGUCCAGCACAACAGAUCUCCAGGGUCAGGAUUCCAAAUUCAAACCUGUCCUUCUAGGACAUUUUUCAAGGAAGGAUAUAUAUAGAUAUAGAUACAUCUAUAGAUAUAGAUAUCUAUAGACAUAUCUGUAGCUAUAGAUAUCUAUAGACAUAUCUGUAGCUAUAGAUAUCUAUAGAUAUAUCUGUAGCUAUAGAUAUCUACAGAUAUAUCUAUAGAUAUCUAUAUCUAUAGAUAUAUCUGUAGCUAUAGAUAUCUAUAGAUAUAGAUAUAGAUAUGGAUUUUUUUUUUUUUUUAGACAAGGUCUGGCUAUGUCACCCAGGCUGGAGUGCAGUGGUGCGAUCUUGGCUCACUGCAGCCUCUGCCUUCUGGGGCCCUGCCAUCCUCCCACCUCAGGCUCCCAAGUAGCUGGGGGCUACAGGUGCACCCCACCAUGACUGGCUAAUUUUUGUAUUUUUUCGUAGAGACGGGUUUUCACCAUAUUGCCCAGGCUGGUCUCAAACUCGUCAGUUCAAGUGAUCUGCCCACCUCAGCCUCGCACGGUGCUAGAAUAUAUUUAACAGCUUGAUAGCUUGCCUCAUAACUUUCAGAUAUUUAGAAUUAAAUUUUAGACACGUGAUAUGUGUGUAAUACGUCCAUUUGUAAUUUUGUCCUUGGCCCAACAAUGUUAGGGGUUGAACCUACAUGGAUAUGGUGGCAGUGGCUGGAGAUGAGGCUAGGUGAGCAGGGGACAGAUGGUGAAGGGUCUUAAAAGCCAAAGUCUCAUCAAGGAGCCUGGACCUUAUCCUGAGGACCAAUAAUAGCAGAAGCUAACAAGAGCUGACUUUGUGCCAAACAUAUUAUAUGCAUGACUUCAAACUGUCAUAACACAAAAACACUAUAAAGGAGAGCUAGUAUUACUGCCCUUAUUUUAUAGGAGAGGAUGAUGAGACUUAGAAGAGUAAAGAACUUGCUUAGGGGUACAGAGUUAGAGUAGUUGGGGGUGUGAGGGUUCACAAUCAGACCUGCACUCUUAAUUGUCAACACAAGCUGUUGCAGUGGGCAGUGGAAAGCCACUGAAGAUUUUAAGCCUGAGAAUGUCGAGAUCAGAUUUGUGCAGGGAUGUGAAUAAACUGAAGGGAAAGCAAGAGGGAGUCAGAGAGAGCUGAUGGCUGUUAGAGUCACCCCAGGAGAGUUGGUGGUCCGUCCUAAGGCAGUAGCAGCAGGGAGCAUAGGCGUGGACACAUCUGCCUACUCUUGCUGUGAAAGCCUACCAUGGUUAAUCUCUAUUCCCAGACCUGUGAGCACACCAGGAAACAUUCUCUCAGGAGCCUGGUGGGGAAAGUGCUUUCUUCCCAGAUGUUUUCCCCAUUGCUCCUGGAUGUUCUGACAAGAGCAGAACAGGUUGCAUCAGCAGGAGUCUGGCAGCUUCACACAGGGGAGCUGGGUCCAGACUUGACUGAGGCAGGGACAUUCCUGAAGGAGGAGGGAUUUGACAAGGAAUGCAGCCCACAGCUGGCCUUGAGGAGAAGCUGGACCAUGCCGGGCCAGCAGCACUGGCUGGCUUUGUAGGCCUCUGUUGUGUCCUGUGGAUUGGGGAAAUGAGAUGUGAGAAGCCUUGGGCCAGAUGUGGACACUUGCAGGCAGAGGCCUUGUGGAAUAGGACUGUGUGCUGGCAGCAGGGCUGGCAGUGUCUCCAGCAGCAGGCAGACCUCCCCACCGGGAGCCAGGGGGAAAGGCUGGCUCUCCCAUUCAAAUGCAUGUACGUGUGCAGGUAUGGAUAUGUGAAUGUGUUCCGGCCUCUCCGGUGGCUGAUGUUGCUGACCACACCCUCCGCUUCACUCUCCUGGCCUCUGUGACACUCACUAUAAUCAUAAUAAGUAAGAUUUAUUGAGCUUGCUGUAUACCAGACCCCGUGCCAGAUGCUGUAAAACGCACAGCAUCUCUAAUCCUUACAGCUAUCUGGGAAGUAGGUCUUCUCAGCCCUAUUGUAUGCACAAGGAACUUGAGGCUUAAAGAGAGGACACAAUGUGCCCCUGGUCACAGAGAUGUGGAGCUGGGAUUAAGCCUCUGUUUUUCACACUCCCAAAGCUGCAGUGGUACACAGAUGUUCUGUGUAUGUGCCUGUGGACGUUUUUCUGAGAAGAGGAGUUACAGCUUUUUUUUUUAGGAAACAGGCUGAGGUUUUGUUGGUACUUGAUAUUUUUGUGGCUGGGGAAACACGGAAAUGCCCAAACCAUAUCUUGGUCUUACUGUUUCUCCUUUCCCUGAAAUCUCUGAGGAAACUACACCAGGACAGUGGCAGACAAGAAAGAAUAAAAGGAGCGCUGGACUGUCGCUGUGUCGGGCUCCCAGUUCUCCAGUGCAGGGCUCCCUGGGAUCGUGACCUAAAACAGGGCUCCUUCCCCAGGGUCCCAACAUGACUCUCAGCCGCUGCUGGCCGAGUAAGAACCGAGGGCAGUAAGACCUCAGCGCAGUGAGCCACGAAGGGCAGAGGCAGAGGUGGCCUGCUCCAAGGAGGAGGCCCUGCCCAGCUCACCCACCGCCAUGCAGAGGCAGCAACUCAGGAAGGGCUGCCUUUGUGGGAGAGAAUUUUCACCUCACACCAGUAAUCGUGACACACUCAGUAUCCUCAAAUCUAAGCAGUCCCAUCAGGCAUUUCUCCUCCCAGGAAAGAGUAAAGAUGAGAAGAGACGUGGCAGCUUUCCCCUCCCCAUCAGAUCGCCAAGGGGGUUGAGUUAAUAAGCGAAUUUCCUGCCAUUUGAGAUGGUGAUUAAAUCCGGGACUUUUAGCAUAUGGAACAGACCAAGAGGGAUUGUUUCAGAGAGGGCAUCUCAUGUGCAGAAAAACAGGUUGUGAAGUCAAACGCAGCUCAGAUUCUCACCAGCUGUGCGUGUACCCUGACGAGUCCCCUCACCAUUCUGGGCCUUAGUCCCCUCUGAAAAAUGGGACAUGGGCACCAGAGAGACUCCUGAGAGCUCCCUUAGUGCUCUUAGAGGAGACAGGGGAGGUCUCCUUUAUCUUUGACCCCUAACCCCUCAGACUUCCAGAGGCGGGAACUGCAGCGAUGAUACAAAUGGUGUGGUGGAAAGAAUGCCGUUUUGGAGUCAGGACACCUGGGUUUGAAUCCACUUGCAGCCACUUGCAGGCUGCUUGACCUUGAACGUAUCGUGUCGUAUCGUUUCACCUUGGGAUCUGUACCUGUGAAGUGGGUGAAAGUUAAAGAGAUAAUAAAGUAACAGUCGUGAAACCAGCCUGGAGCCUCCUCACACAGGCCCCCAGCUGUGCCCAAUCCUGGUUCUCCCUGUUCCUCCCGAGCAGCCCCUGUGCUUUCUCCCUCCUCUUUGGUGUGUGCAGGGCAGGCACAGGCAGGAACCCCAGGUGGGAAGCUGUUGGGGCCUGCUGGGCCUGGAGAAGGGACAGGGGCUGUGCUGUGCUGUGCUUGGCACAGGCUGGCACCUGCUGUUCCUGUCAGUCCACAUCUGGCCCACCCAAGAGGGGCUUCCCCUCAGCUAUGCCUAAGGUCUUGGCCAUUUCUCCACCCGUCCGUUUCCUACUGUCUCCCACCAUCCCUCCCUUUACCUCCCUUACGCACACCCCACUUCUGGAGACAGGAGCAGGAAAAACUGGGGUCGGCUUGCUCAGCCUGACUGGGGCUGAAACAGAAGUUUGCCACAAGGUUCCAAUGUUUGAACUGACCUUUGGAGGACAGACAGUUUGCCAGAGAAAGAGAUGUUGCCACAGAGUUGGGAGCCAUGAGGAGGGAGUGGCUGGAACAGAGACAAUCCACCAAAGGAGCAGCAGCGGAAGACGCUGAAGAGCUGCUGGUCACUGGGCGCCCUGGGUGGAGGUCAGGUCUCCUUUAGUAACCGUCACUGAUGCCUCUUUGCUGUCUGUGCUGUGCCACGCCCUGGGCUACAGAGGUGAAUCAGAUGUGAGUCCCUGCCCUAUGGGGCUAGUGUGCACUCAGCCUGGAUUGGCUCAUUUAAUUCUUACAAUAGCUUGUAAGCUAAAUACGCGUGAUGUCCCUGGUUUAUCCAUAAGGAAAUGGUACAUUCCUUGCCCAGGAUCUGCACAUGGUGAGUGAGCAGAUCUGAAGUUAAAUCCUAGGACCAAGGAUCUGAACUCCAUAUUUUACCACCUCUUGAAGGUCAGAUGUCAGUUCUGCCUUGGGGUGGAGGGGGCGAGGAAAGACAUGAAGGAGAGGCAGCUGCUGAGUCUUAGAAAAUGGAUGGGUCAUGUGGAUAGAGGUGGGAAGGAUGUUAGAGACAAGGAGCAGCAUCAGCAAAAGUGUGGGGCAUGAAUUAGCAAGUGGGGACUUCAGAUGGACUGAGACUGAAAUGAGAGACAGAUGGGUUACUGGCUAAAAGGCUCAGCUCUUCUUUAGGCAGUGGUGAUCUGAUUUGUACAUGGAAAAUCAUUCUGGCAGAGAGAAAGUGGUUUGAGAGGCUGGGCGCAGUGGCUCACGCCUGUAAUCCCAGCACUUUGGGAGGCCGAGGUGGGCGGGUCUUCUGAGGUCAGGAGUUGGAGACCAGCCUGGCCAACAUGGUGAAACCCCAUCUCUACUAAAAAUAAAAAAAUUAGCUGGGCAUGGUGGCAGGCACCUGUAAUCCCAGCUACUCAGGAGGCUGAGGCAGGAGAAUUGCUUGAACCCAAGAGAUGGAGGUUGCAGUGAGCUGAGAUCAUGCCACUGGACUCCAGCCUGGAGUGGUUUGGGAGAUACAGGCAGCCCAUCGUAGGCACUCAUUAAUGCUCGCUGAAUAAGUGAAUAGAAUUGUACAAUUAUGUAUUGUGUACCAUUUAUGUUUCAGUUUUAUGUUUCAGUUACUCUACUGGGCUUUGGAGUGUUCAGCAGUCAAAAAGACAGACACUGUAAAUGGCCAGUCAUUAGAAUAGUCCAGAUGAAAGAUGAUAAGACCUGCCCUGGAAGUGGUGGCAGUAGGUUUGGGAUCAAGGGAUGGAUCUGUACCGUUCUAAGCAGAUAGACUCGAACUUGAUGACCAGCAGCACAAGGUAAGAUGGACUGGAAAGGUGUAGGAGAAUCUCAAGUCAGUUCCCAGGUUGCUGGUUUGGAAGACUGGAUGGACAGUAGAGGAUAGGGAACAAGGAGAAGGAAGAGGUCUGGGAAAACUAGAAACAAUUUAGAUAUCCAACAACAGUGUUGGUUACAUACAUUAUGGUACAUCCAUAAGACAAAAUUCCUUUUUUUUUGAGACAGGACCUUUCUCUUUCACCCAGACUAGAGUGCAGUGGCUCGAUCACGGCUCACUGCAGCCUAGAAUUCCUGAACUCGAGUGAUUCUUCCACCUCAGCCCCCCGAGUGGCUGGGACCACAGCCUCAUGCCCAGCUAAUUAUUCUAUUUCUUGUAAAGACAUUGUCUCACUAUAUUGCCCAGGCUGGUAUUGAAUUCCUGGGCUCAAGUAAUCCUCUCACCUCAGCCUGCCAAAGUGCUAGGAUUACAGGCAUGAGCCAGCCACCGCACCUGGCCCAAAAUUCUUAGAAGAUAUCAUUUUGAUAACUGUGACAUUCUUUUACAUAAAUGUAUCAUUUAAUGAAACCUCUGUUGUAAACUUUUGGAUUUUUUUCUGUUUUUUCACUUUGUAAGUAAUACUGUAAUAAAGAGCUUUUUACAAA